rnacentral:rRNA from 1 species
GAUGAACGCUGGCGGCGUGCUUAACACAUGCAAGUCGAACGGAAAGGCUCCUGCUUGCAGGGGUACUCGAUUGGCGAACGGGUGAGUAACACGUGUGUGAUCUGCCCUGCACUUCGUGAUAAGCCUGGGAAACUGGGUCUAAUACCGGAUAUGACGAUUUUUUCGAUGCCAUUGUGUAAUGUUUUUCGGUGUGGGUUGAGCUCGCGGCCUAUUAGCUUGUUGGUGGGGUAAUGGCCUACCAAGGCGUCGACGGGUAGCCGGCCUGAGAGGGGGUACGGCCACAUUGGGACUGAGGUAGGGACCAGAAGCCAACGGGAGGCAGUAGUGGGGAGUCUUGCACAAUGGGGGCAAGCCUGAUGCAACGACGCCGCGUGGGGGAUGACGGCCUUCGGGGUGUAAACUACUGUGGCUGGGGACGAAGCGCAAGUGACGGUACCUGGAGAAGAAGCACCGGCUAACUACGUG